rnacentral:snRNA from 1 species
AUCGCUUCUCGGCUUUUGGCUAAGAUCAAGUGUAGUAUCUGUUCUUAUCAGUUUAAUAUCUGAUACGUCCCCUAUCUGGGGACCAUAUAUUAAAUGGAUUUUUGGAACAGGGAGAUGGAAGAAGAGCUUGCUCUGUCCACUCCACGCAUCGACCUGGUAUUGCAGUACCUCCAGGACCGGGUGCACCUCUC